GCCGGGUGGUGUAGUGGCUAUCACGUUUCGUUUACAACCGGAAUUGCAUCCGAAAAGGUCCCGCGUUCAAUCCGCGGUAAGAAA